GCAGCAGCCGCGGUAACACGAAGGGUGCAAGCGUUAAUCGGAAUUACUGGGCGUAAAGCGUGCGUAGGCGGUUUGUUAAGUCUGUUGUGAAAUCCCCGGGCUCAACCUGGGAAUGGCAAUGGAUACUGGCAAGCUAGAGUGUGUCAGAGGAUGGUGGAAUUCCCGGUGUAGCGGUGAAAUGCGUAGAGAUCGGGAGGAACAUCAGUGGCGAAGGCGGCCAUCUGGGACAACACUGACGCUGAGGCACGAAAGCGUGGGGAGCAAACAGGAUUAGAUACCCGUGUAGUCCCUGUCUCUUAUAC
rnacentral:rRNA from 1 species